GCAUGGUCUGUUGCUGUCACACAAGCAAGAAACAAACAUAAUGGUUAGAGCAUUCAAUGGUUAGGAUUUUCUGGACCCACACAGAUACAUGACAGAUCAUGUACAUACCCUUAACAAAGUAGUGAUUGUGGAACCAUGCUAUCACUUUGGAUAAGAACAUAUUGUGUGAAUAAAUCACAUCACUCCAAACUGCAGAAAAAGCUAAUCUAUCUGCUGUUUUCCCUGAUUUAUACAGUAACACAAAAUCCAAAGAAUUGGGUAGUUUUGAGUAACAUACAUUUCAGUAAGAAAAUUUGACAGCUACCAUCUUUUUUUCUUGACAGAAAAAAAUAAUUAUCAGUCCUUUGGAGUAUGUACCACACACUAGAUGGCUAGAAAAGAAUAAUAAUCCAGAGAAUGAGAGGUAAUUUCUGCACCAUUCUUUCUAUGACCAUCUACCUGAGUAGAGUUGAAGUUUCACUCAACUUUCAGACCUGCUAAAGCCCUGUUAGUAACUUUGCUUCAUAUUAUUCCAACCAUUAUAACCAAGACACCUCCAGCAUGACAUCUGCAGAGCAGGCCUCUAGGGUCGCCUCCUAAUGAAGCACAGUGAACAGGACAGUGCAGCGCAGAGAAUGUAAAUGACUGAAAAGUGGCAGGGGGUGAUGAACACUGGUGAUCCACUCAGAACAGCUCUAAUGAGAAGACUUACAGUGGGGGAAAUAAGUAUUGAACGUGUCAACAUUUUUUUCCGUAAAUAUAUUUCCAGAAGGUUAUUCACAUGAAACUUUCACCAGACUUUGGUAUUAACUCAAGAAAUCCAGAUAUACAAAGAAAUCCAAACAUUAAAGUGCAUAAAUGAAGUUGUGCAAUAAAGAGGAAUGACACAGGAAAAAAUUAUUGACUAAAAUUUAUUUAAUACUUAGUGGAUAAGCCUUUGUUUGUAAUGAGAGCUUCAAGAUGCUUCUUGUAUGAAGAAAUUAAUUGGGUGCAGUAUUCAGGGGUGAUUUUGGCCCAUUCUUCUAAACAUAUUUUCUUUAAAUCUUGUUAAAUUGGAUUGAAGUCAGGUGAUUGACUGGGCCAUUCUAACACCUUGAUUUUUUUUUUCUCUGAAGCCAACUGAGAGUUUCCUUUGCUGUAUGCUUUGGAUUUUUGUCCUGCUGGAAGGUCCACCCACAUCUCAUCUUCAUCAUUCUGGUGGAUGGCAGCAGAUUCUUCUCAAGAAUAUUCUGGUAAAGUGCUCCAGUCAUCAUUCCUACAAUUAUAUGAAGUCUGCCAGUACAUUGCGAUGAAAAACAGCCCCACACCAUGAUGCUUCCACCUCCAAACUUCACUGGCGGUAUAAUGUUUUUAGGCUGAUGUGCAGUGCCAUUUCUUCUCCAAACAUGGUGUGUAGUAUGACAGCCAAAAAGUAAAAUGUUGUAAUGUAGUCUUGCGGGGUGAGCGUGCAUGGAGGCCAUGGCGGUGGAGUGCAUUGCCUAUUGAUUUCUCUGAGACAAUGGUACCUGUUUCCUCCAAGUGUUUCUGAAGCUUUUUCCAUGUAGUCCUUGGCUCUUGGGCUAUUCUUCUGACUAUUCUUCUGACUCCCUGGUCAGAAAUAUUGCGAGUAGCUGCUGUGCAUGGCCGGUGGAUGACGCAGUGAUGUUGCUUCCACUUGCGGAUAAUGGCCCCAAUGGUGCUUACUGGAAGAUUCAGAAGUUUUGAAAUACGUCUGUAUCCGAUUCUAUCAAUAUGUUUCACAACAAUAAGGUUGCAAAGGUCUUGGUCGAGCUCUUUGCUUUUACCCAUCAUGUGAUGUUUCUUGUGUGACACCUUGGUAACGAAAAGCCUUUUUAUAGACCAUCAAUUUACUAACCCAGCUGAUAUUAAUUUGCACGGAUAGGAGUUAUAAUUACUUUCUAACUACUUAGGACUUCAGAUGAUUCUUUGCCUUACCUUGCCUUGGAAAACUGCUUUUCUUAGUGUGUUCAAUAUUUUUUUUCCUGUGUCAUUCCUCUUUAUUACACAUUACAUUAAACUCCAUAAAUAAAGUUGUCAAUUCUUUAUAUUUGCUGAUUUCUUGAGUUAAUACUGCUGUCUGGUGAAAAUUUCAUGUUCAAUAAUCUUAUUGGCAAUAUAUUUACUGAAAAAAUGUUGAUGCAUUCAAUACAUAUUUCCCCCAUUGUAGCAGAACUCUGACCCAACAAAUACAAAAAAGAAACAAAAACCUUACAUGAAUUUGUUUUCACCUGUCAAGAAAAAUUAUGUGGAUGGAAAGGAACUUUCCCAAGUCUCCCAGUAAUUAUAAACAUUUACAGCACAUUAACCUGGUAAACCUGUCUGCAUUCGUUUCAUCAAUGUAUCUAUACAAUUCAAAGACACACUCAUCCAAACAACUAAUGGGUUGUACAUAAUACAACCCAUAAAUACAUACAGUAUUUGAGCUGUAUAGUUUGAUGUGUCUGGGUUGUUGACCUAUACACCUCAAAGAUCCACCCGUCCAUCAAAUACACCCAUCUAUACAACCCAAAGAAACAUCCACCCACACAACUCAAAGAAAAACAUCUUUAUAUGAUUCAUACACACACUCAUCUAUAAAACUCAAAUAUCCCCAUCUAUACAACUCAAACACACAACUAUCUGUACUUAGUGAUACACAUAAAAGACAAAAGUUCCCAGGCUCCAGGCUCCCUGCCACCCUGUGUAGAAUAAGUGGUAUGGAAAAUGGAUGGAUAGAUAGAUGGAAGCUGCGAGGUUGGGCCUCCAUGGAUCAAAUUUGUUUGUCCAGCACAUUCCACAGAUGCUCAGUCCAAUUGAGAUCUGGGGCAUUUGGGGGCCAAGUCAACACCCUGAACUGUUUGUCAUGUUUCUCAAUCCAUUCCUGAAAUUUUUUUGCAGUGUGGCAGGGCACAUUAUCUUGCUGAAAGAAGCCACGGCCAUUAGGGAAUACCGUUGCCAUGAUGGGCUGUACUUGGUUUGCAACAAUGUGUAGUGCAUCCUGGUGCCAUCUCUUUCCCAGGUGCUUUGGAAGUGGACAGAGGUCAGCAUGGACACUCUGACCAGCCUGCGGCUACUCAUCCCCAUACGCAGCAAGCUGUGAUGCACUGUAUGUUCUGACACCUAUUUUCAUCAUAACCAUCAUUAACUUUUUCAAUAGUUUGUGCUGCAGUAGCUCUUCUGUGGAAUUGGACUAGAUGGCAUAGCCUUUGCUGCCCAUUUGCCUCAAUGAGCCUUGGGUGCCCAUGACCUGGUUCAAUGGUUGUCCUUCCUUGGACCAUUUUUGGUAGGUAAGAUGCUUUGACUCAGGCGUCUAGCCGUCACAGUUUGGCCCUUGUCAUAGUUGCUCAGAUGAUUACACUUGCCCAUUUUUCCAGCUUACCUCACAACAUCUUUGAGAAAUGACUGUUCACUUGCUGUCUAAUAUAUAUAUCCCAGUCCUUGACAGGUGCCAUUGUAAUGAGAUCUUAUUCGCUUUACCCGUCAGUGGUUUUAAUGUUAUGGCUGAUUGGUGUACAACUCAGACAUAACCAUCUAUACAGCUCAGUGACACUCUUAUCUAUAUAAAUCAAACACACUCACCUCUAUAAGUCAAAUACCUAUUCAUCGUCCUGCAGACAGACCUUUCUUCUUGAGGCAUUUAACUCUCAGUUGCUCAGCUCUAUGCUUUGAUUUAAUUAUUUUGAUUAUAUUGUGAAUUGUCACAAACUACUUUUGAUACUGUAACCACCUCUAACUAAAACAAGUUAUUAAUUUGAAAAUACAUUUUUUUAAAAAUAACAUUGCAACAUUAAAGCCUACAUUUUCUUUUCAUUAAUGGAUGAUUUAACUAUUUAACUUAUCUUAGCCAUAAAAAACCAGUAAAAUGAUUUAAUGAAGUUAUUAUAAACUGAGAUUAAAUAUUGUCUCUCUUAUAGUAAGAAACACUAAUGCUAUAGUUACUGUGGUAUUUUUGUUCAGGAAAGCCAUGCAUUAUAAAAAAAAAAAAAAAAAAAAUCACAUAUGCAUUAUACAUUAGACUAAAUUCAGUAAUUGUUGAGAAUUUAUUUUUUAUUUUUUUUUUAAAAUCUGAAUUUUAGGAUAAAACGAAGUAUAUGGAUAUAGCACUUGUAUUUAGCAUUUAUCUAGGAAAAAAAAAGAUUAACAAUUGUCUGUACAAGAGUCAAGAUGGAGACGGAUGCAAGUGCAAUUGAAUCAAUUAAUAACACACAAUGUCCAGUAUACAAAUCCAAAACAGUAGGCAGAAUCGAGGCAAAAGGGUCCGAGAAUCAGCAAACAGGAUAUCAGAUGAGAGACAAGGUACAAAAAAACAGGAUAUUAGCAAAGUUAAAAAUAAAUAAAUAAACAGAACAGCAAAAUAUACAACAUCUUGGUAACUCAGAGUAAACACAACUGAGCGUUACUUCACAAAGU